rnacentral:rRNA from 1 species
AUGGGGGUCAAGAACCUUUGGGACAUUCUCGACUCCUGCAAGCAGAAGCUGCCGCUCAACCACCUCCAGAACAAGAAGGUGUGCGUAGAUCUCUCCUGCUGGCUCGUGCAGUUCUGUACCGCCAACCGCUCGCCGGCCUUCGUCAGGGACAAGGUUUACCUCAAGAACCUCUUCCACCGCAUCCGCGCCCUCCUCGCCCUCAACUGCAGCCUCAUCUUUGUCACAGAUGGGGCAAUACCUUCAAUCAAGCUGGCUACUUAUAGACGUCGGCUAGGAUGCAAUUCUGAGGCUGAUUGUGAUGACACGAGUUCGCAACCAUUGACCUCCCUUAAACGGAACAAGGGAUCAGAAUUCUCGCGCAUGAUUAAAGAGGCGAAGCAUCUUGGCUUGGCCUUAGGCAUCCCUUGCUUGGAUGGUGUCGAGGAAGCAGAAGCACAGUGUGCAUUGCUUGAUUUAAGCUCAUUGUGCGAUGGCUGUUUUACAUCAGAUUCAGAUGCUUUUCUUUUUGGGGCAAGGACAGUUUACAGAGAUGUUUUCAUAGGGGACGGUGGUUAUGUCAUUUGCUACGAAAUGGAGGACAUAGAGAAAAAGCUUGGUUUUGGCAGGAAAUCACUGAUAUCAUUUGCGUUGCUUCUUGGUUGUGAUUAUUCUAAUGGAGUUCAUGGCUUUGGCCCGGAAGCAGCAUGUCGUCUUGUCAAAUCUGCGGGAGAUGAUUCCAUCCUGGAUCAGAUUUUAUCUGAUGGAGUAAAAGCUACAAGAAAGUGUAAAGGGAAAAAGGCUGGCAUUGGCAAAAACAAGGGUGGUGACAUAUGCACAAAAACAAGUACCUCUGAGGUUGGGAUGAGCCAAGAUUCUGGCAGUCAAUUCCGUGAGGUAAUAAAUGCAUUUCUGGAGCCAAAAUGCCAUUUGCCUGAUUCAGAAAAUGUGCGGAGGGUAUGCUGCCAGCACCCAUUCCGUCAUUCAGAGUUCCAACAGAUUUGUGAGAAAUAUUUUGAAUGGACACCAGAGAAGACUGAUGAAUACAUCCUUCCGAAGAUAGCUGAGAGAGAACUUCGAAGGUUUUCAAAUCUUCGCUCGACAUCUUCAGCUCUAGGAAUAAAACCAUUGUUGAGUGAGAUUCCAGUACCAUGCCCUGUAUUGGCAAUUACGAAGCAACGAAAAGUUCAUGGAAGUGAGUAUUAUGAGGUUUCAUGGAGAAACAUGCAUGGACUCCAAUCUUCAGUUGUUCCAGGGGAUCUCAUCAGAAGUGCGUGCCCAGAAAAAAUAACUGAGUUUUUGGAAAAGAAGGAUGAAGAGAAGAAGCAAAAGAGGAAAGCUAGGCCAAAGAAAUCAGCACAAGCUGCAGUAAAAGAUGUUGAUGCGCGGCUCCAAGAAUUGAUGCUUGGUAUCGAGUCUGAAUGCGCCACGUUUCCGCCUGCAAGCAAUUGUCCUGAGACAGGAGAUGUACACCGCGUGGCACCUAGCAUGGAUAUAGUUGAUCUGUCUUCUCCAUCUCCGCCCCUCCGGGCUUGCAAGUCCCAAAAGUUCAUCGGAUCAACCACAGCUGCGAUGAAUGGGGUUGAUUUGCUGAGCGGUAUGAUGGAGUCACAAAGUAGCACCCAGUCCAGCGAUGCUCAGAACUCCGAGUCACAAAAUAGCACCCAGUCCAGCGAUGCUCAGAACUCUGAGUCACAAAAUAGCACUCAGUCAAGUGAUGCUCCGAGUUUUACCCUUGACGACGACGUGAUUGAUCUGUCCUCGCCCCUGCCUCCAGUUGCUGAACGACAACCUUGCCGCUUCCAAGACUUGCCACCUUAUGACGGAGCUGAACGAAGAGCUCUGACAGAUUUAAGCAAUUUCCCUGAGAAAAGCAGCAUGCUGGGCGUUUCAGAUGACAGACACAAAGCUGGUGCAAGCGACGCCUGCGCACCAGUCGAAGCAUCGCCGCCAGUCGUCCAUGGUGCUCGGAUGUUCAAUGGCCGAAGUAAUGUACCGAUUGUUUCGUUGGCAGAAUCAGAAGCUGGCGCCAUUGAUUUGUCUUCUCCUUCUCCGGUUGUCGACAGGAGAAGGAAUGGUAACCAUGGCAAGGAUGCAAUAGACAUUAGUGAAGCUGACAGUAGUGUCGUGUGUCCUGAUGAUGAUGAACAUGAGAGGAAGGCGAGAGAGCUCAGAUCGUUUCUCAAGAGCAUUAGAGACGAACUGUAA